rnacentral:siRNA from 1 species
UUUGGAGCAUAUUGCUUUAGGCAA